rnacentral:rRNA from 1 species
CGUGGAGGAUGAAGGCCUUCGGGUUGUAAACUCCUGGUCAGGGGGGAGGAAAUCCAGGUGGGCUCUCCCAUCUGGUUGACCUAUCCCCAGAGGAAGCACGGGCUAAGUUCGUGCCAGCAGCCGCGGUAAGACGAACCGUGCAAACGUUGUUCGGAAUCACUGGGCUUAAAGGGCGCGUAGGCGGUGCGUUAAGUCGGCGGUGAAAUACUUCGGCUCAACCGGAGAAUUGCCGCUGAAACUGGCGUGCUGGAAGGAGGUAGAGGUGCAUGGAACUUCCGGUGGAGCGGUGAAAUGCGUUGAUAUCGGAAGGAACGCCUGUGGCGAAAGCGGUGCACUGGACCUCCUCUGACGCUGAGGCGCGAAAGCUAGGGUAGCGAACGGGAUUAGAUACCCCGGUAGUCCUAGCCGUAAACGAUGGGUACUAGAGAGUAGAUGCUCCGAUGCGUUUACUCUCGAAGCAAAAGUGCUAAGUACCCCGCCUGGGGGGUAUGGUCGCAAGGCUG